rnacentral:rRNA from 1 species
UACGGGGGGGGCAAGCGUUGUUCGGAAUUACUGGGCGUAAAGGGCUCGUAGGCGGCCAACUAAGUCGGAUGUGAAAUCCCCAGGCUCAACCUGGGAACUGCAUCCGAUACUGGAUGGCUUGAAUCCGGGAGAGGGAUGCAGAAUUCCAGGUGUAGCGGUGAAAUGCGUAGAUAUCCGGAGGAACACCGGUGGCGAAGGCGGCUUCCUGGACUGACACUGACGCUGAGGCGCGAAAGCUAGGGGAGCAAACGGG